AACGCACAUUGCGCUCUCUGGUAUUCCGGGGAGCAUGCCCAUUUCAGAAUCAUAUAAUCAUAUCAACACCCUUUUGGGUGCUGGAUAUUGGAUGUUACUUGAACUCUCCCACGAGAGUGCAAUCAUCUGAAAUGUGAUUGUACGUGGUCCUAGCUGACAUGAUUGGCUGGUCUACCUGGUGCAACAGAUAUUCUAUCUUUACGCCUUGUGAACCAUCAAACAGAGCUAGGCUGCCUUGCGUACGCCAAAGCCAAACACAGAUAGCAUUAGCUCUCUGAUAACUUGGUCUGAAAUUGGGCAAGAAAACCCGCUGAACUUAA
rnacentral:misc_RNA from 1 species